rnacentral:RNase_P_RNA from 1 species
UGAGCUGGCCAGGCGACCGCGAGUCGGGUGACCGAUUCGAGGAACGUCCGGACUCCACAGGGCAGGGUGCUGGGUAACGCCCAGUCGAGGUGACUCGCAGGAAAGUGCCACAGAAAACAAACCGCCCGCGUCAGCGGGUAAGGGUGAAACGGUGCGGUAAGAGCGCACCAGCACCCCGGGUGACCGGGGUGGCUUGGUAAACCCCACCUGGAGCAAGGCAACGUAGGAGAGGGGCUGCCCGCCCUAACUUUCCGGGUAUGCCGCUAGAGCUCGUCGGUAACGGCGAGCCGAGAUGGAUGGUCGCCACCGGAUCGUGGAAACGGUCCGGGACAGAAUCCGGCGUAUCGGCCAGCUCACCGC